GGAAAAAUUGUCAUUGGCAGGACUAAAUAUCUACUAAAUAUUAUGCAAUUCGCAUUUAGGUGUUCGAUUCACCUUUUUUCCG
rnacentral:tRNA from 1 species